AAAAUUUCCAAAAAAAAAAACAGAGAAUCAGAAAUCAAAGAAGAGAAAGAGGAGGAGAAGAAGAAAGAAGCAGAGAGGAAGAGAGAGAGAGAGAAAAAGAAAGAAGGCACCACCGCAGGCCUCCCUUCACCCACAGCGCAACCAUCUCCCCGCCAUCGCCGACUACCAACAGAGUCCGGAUCUUGUUUCCUCCUCCUUUCUCUCAUUAAACUACCAACCCAGCAACCAUCUCGAUCUUUUCUCCUCUUUUCUUUGCCGCCGGUGUACCGGAGGGAGUUCGUCGGGAGUUCGUCGGUCAUCCUUGUCGCCGUUCCCCCCCGGUCGUCCCUUGCCAAUCUUUGCUGGAUCUAAUGUUUGACUGUUUGUAUUGAUCUAAUUUUUAUUAAUUUUGAUUUAUCAUUUGGAAUGUUCAAGUGUUAUUUUGUAUAUAUAUCUGUAUAUAUAUACAUACAAGUUCUGCAAAUAUUUGGAAAGUUCUGCAAAUACAUACCAUUUUGAAUUUGGAAUCCCACAAGUUCUGCAAAUUUUUUAUUGGAACACAAAGUGGGUUUGCAUGAAGUUGUUUUCAAGCCUUUAAUCUAUGGGGAUGUGAAUAAAUUAGCUUCAUAGAUUCGAGGGGUUAGCUUCACAGAUUCGAGCGGCUUGAAGAGGAAUACCCACAGGGAAACGCGGCAGAGGAUCCGGACUCAA